ACGUAUCAACAACAGUGUCUAUAUGGUAUCAACAACAGGGUCUAUCUGGUAUCAACAACAGGGUCUAUCUGGUAUCAUCAACAGGGUCUAUAUGGUAACGUAUCAACAACAGUGUCUAUAUGGUAUCAACAACAGGGUCUAUCUGGUAACGUAUCAACAACAGGGUCUAUAUGGUAUCAACAACAGGGUCUAUCUGGUAUCAACAACAGGGUCUAUCUGGUAUCAUCAACAGGGUUUAUAUGGUAACGUAUCAACAACAGUGUCUAUAUGGUAUCAACAACAGGGUCUAUCUGGUAUCAACAACAGGGGUCUAUCUGGUAUCAUCAACAAGGUCUAUAUGGUAAUGUAUCAACAACAGGG
ensembl:lncRNA